GCCAGAGUAGCUCAGUUGGUCCAGCAUGAGACUCUCAAUCUCAGGGUUGUGGGCUUGAGCACCACAUUGAGCA